rnacentral:rRNA from 1 species
AGAGUUUGAUCAUGGCUCAGGACGAACGCUGGCGGCGUGCUUAACACAUGCAAGUCGAGCGGAAAGGCCCUUCGGGGUACUCGAGCGGCGAACGGGUGAGUAACACGUGAGUAAUCUGCCCCAGGCUCUGGGAUAGCCACCGGAAACGGUGAUUAAUACCGGAUACGACAACCGAUUGCAUGAUCUGGUUGUGGAAAGUUUUUCGGCCUGGGAUGUGCUCGCGGCCUAUCAGCUUGUUGGUGAGGUAAUGGCUCACCAAGGCUUCGACGGGUAGCCGGCCUGAGAGGGUGACCGGCCACACUGGGACUGAGACACGGCCCAGACUCCUACGGGAGGCAGCAGUGGGGAAUAUUGGACAAUGGGCGGAAGCCUGAUCCAGCAACGCCGCGUGAGGGAUGACGGCCUUCGGGUUGUAAACCUCUUUCAGCACAGACGAAGCGAAAGUGACGGUAUGUGCAGAAGAAGGACCGGCCAACUACGUGCCAGCCGCCGCGGUAAUUC